rnacentral:lncRNA from 1 species
AGAUUAGGAAAAAAACAAAUAAAACCCUUCAGCAACAUAUUGAAACAAAGUUUUCCAUUUGGUGCAUCAUGUAAAGCCGCAAGAACAUUCUCAAAAAUUUUCUUUUCUUCUCAUUCAAUUAAAAAAAUAACAGUGUUCUACUCAACGAAAAAAAAGUAGAAAUAUGAGAAGUUCGAAAGCUUUAAAAUCCUGCAAAUCGUGGAAGAAUUCUUUCGGCUCAAGGUAAAUCCUUUAUAUAGCUUUGUUGUGCUUGUUCUCUGGUUUAUUUAAUUCCAUUGGGUACUGAAAAUUAAUAUUAAAAAUAAGUAUGAUGUAUAGUAAGGUAUUAUUUUGUUUGGGAUUAAGUACUGAUUUCAGUGCUUUUGGGUAAAACGUGAGAUGAAUAAAUUGUAUGAAUAGACCGAAGUUGAAAAACUAAGUUGCUCAUAGCACGAGUAGAUAUAAUUCAAUCAAUAGAUGUCAUAGGAUCCCUGUGAGAUGUGCAGGUGAUAUUUUUGCAUUUUGUAAUCUCUAAGUAUGGAUUCCAGCACUUCCUUUGUGUUGAUAUUUUAAUAUACCAUUACCCAAAAAAAAAAUAGAGAUUCAAAUAUGAAACUGAGAGUUGUGUACUCUGAUUAGUUCCGAAUCCGCGUAAACGAGGAAAUUAACACGAGAAUGAUAUUAUGUGAGGAUACAUUGAUCGAAGGAAGUCGCACGGAUUGCUCGAGGCGAUACGUUUGAUAGUUAAAACAAGAGUAUUGUGAGUAGUAAUCUUACCUCUAUUUUCAUAAUCUGCAUGGUUUAUACGUUAUUUUAAAAAUAAAAUGUGUUAUCGAAUGUUUGAAAUUACAUGUGGGACAAGUCCUUCAGUUGAUAUGGUACUGAAUAAUUUACUGGAGAUGUUUAUCGUUAUUUAAAAUAUUUUCAUUGUUACUAGACAUAUUUUACUGUUACUUGAGAUAUGGUUACCAUUACCGAAAUGGAGUUACAUAAUUUGAUAAGAAUUGAUAUGCCCUUUAUUAUUGUGAAAAUGCUUUUCUAUGAAUAUUUACUGGUUACAAGAAAAAAUAUAUAUGGGAGGAGACUUUGAAGGAUCCUGUAGCUAACGGCGGGUUCGUUAGACCUGGUGUACCUUGUAUUUACAGAUUAAAGAUUAGAGUUAUAGCCUCGUUAGUGGGAAGGUAGAACUAGCAUACAAUUACAGUUUUCCCUCGAGUAGGGACCCACAGUUAUAUUUGACUCCUUUUACGAAGGAGUCCACAGAGUGACACAGAUUACAUGAUUCUGUCUUAGAAACCUCCCAAACAUAAGAUUUAAUAUGACAAUGUUGACAGAGUUUAUUACUGAAUUGUUAAUUGUUUCCUUCUUACAUGAAAACAGACAAGACUGAUUUUUGUUACUGAUUCUGAAAAAGGAAUUCAUUUCAUGAUAUUUUUUGAUUACUAUACAAGUAUAUUUUUUGACUUGUCCCCACUAAAAAUGGUUGUGGUUAAAUAUUAUUACUCACUGAGCUAGCAUCUCACUCCUCACCAUUUUUUUUUAUAGAAACUAUAGGUGAAUGCUGGUGAGAAUUUCGAUAACUAGCGCGCACGAGUUGACAGAUUCCGGUAAACCCUGCAUUGCUUUGUGUGGGCAAGAAGUUAUUUGUUUUCUACCGUACUUUUCCUUUAAAAACUCUUAGAGUCGCUCCAUUAGUUAUUUUUAUUAGUCCCAUAAGUAUUCUCAUAUUACUUAAGAUAUAUGACUAGUAUUAGAUGUUCUUCCUGUACUUUGGAGAUGGUUUUACUAUUAUUACGUUGAAAAAUGGUGGAUUGAGGAUGAUGCCGUUUUGUUGGGUUGAUAUAGGUUAUCUCUGUGGUUGAUGGUUGAUUUUGAGAGGAAUUUUUUUUGAUUUUCUUAAAAAAUAGGGGAAGCUAUGCCCAAUUUUCUGUAAAUUCUUGUUAAGGCCUACUUUGGGAUCCUAUCCCUUAGCGCCGGUCGUGACCCUAAAUUGGGUCGUGACAUCUAUUUUCAAGUUCUCCUUAGAAUUAAUUAAUAUUAAUUUAAUUAUUUUUUUUAAUAAUUUGAACUUUUAAAUCAAAUCAAAUUUGAUUAUGAAAUUAAGGAUGUAGUACAUGCUUGCAUGUCUAUGGAUUAUGAUCAGUACAAGUAUCAUAUUGGUUUCUGAGUAAUUUUGUCAGUUUAAGAGAGGCGAUCAUAUGUGGUGGAAUACAGGUGCAGACACCUGUAGGGGUGCAGUAAGCUCCUGCUUCUGGACAUAGUGGCAAGCACCGCUUCAGCAUUUCACAGUCGCAAGUCCAAUCAUCUGCCUCUACUGAUCUGCUUCCUGAAACGAGUCCCAAUCGCAUAAUCACCUACUUACUUUCUAUG